UGCGGGGUGGAGCAGUGGUAGCUCGUCGGGCUCAUAACCCGAAGGUCAAAGGUUCGAGUCCUUUCCCCGCUA
rnacentral:tRNA from 1 species